AUUGAACGCUGGCGGCAGGCCUAACACAUGCAAGUCGAACGAGUGGCGGACGGGUGAGUAAUGCCUGGGCAACUUCCUGAUGGAGGGGGAUAACUACUGGAAACGGUCGCUAAUACCGCCUACCCUCUGUUUUGCCCAGAUGGGCUUAGCUAGUUGGCGGGGUAACGGCUCACCUAGGCGACGAUCCCUCGCUGGUCUGAGAGGAUGACCGGCAAAGUGGGAACGGGGAAACGGUCAAGACUCCUACGGGAGGAAGCAGGGGGGAAUAUUGCACAAUGGGCGAAGGCGUGAUGAAGCAAGGCCGCGUGGAGGAAGAAGGCCUUCGGGUUGUAAAGUACUUUCAGCGGGGAGGCGGUACCCGAAGAAGAAGCACCGGCUAACUCCGUGCCAGCAGCCGCGGUAAUAC
rnacentral:rRNA from 1 species